ACAAAUUUGUUAAAAAGAGUUCAAAGAGGGACGUGAACCGGUGAGAUGGAACGGAUAGAGUCAAGCGAUAUCUUCGCCAAGAUAUCCAUUUACCGGUUGCUGGCGUUUUGCCCGUGUGCCCCUUCAUGGGGACUGAGUGUGUGCGGUAAUUAUUUGGCUUGUGCAUACUUGCUGAUGUGCUGGGGAUUUCGGAGACGAGUCCUGGCCCUUGUUUGGAAAGGCCUCUUGUUGGUACCCGAAUGUGGUUAGCGGUUUUUGUUUUUUUUGCUGCAUGUAUACGGCUUACCUACUUUCUAUGGAUUUGUUUGGUUGCCAGUUUAGGUGCUUGGCCGGUCGUGCUUUUCUAUGUUUUGUUGCUGGGUAAUGUUGGUACAGUUAUUCCCCGUGCAACCCCCGGUGUUCUAUUUGACCCUCUUUGAAACCCGUCUUGAAGAGUUUAUCGUGUGCGCAAGUUUUUGGGUGUUUAAAACCUAGGAGCGAAAUGAAAGUAAAUGACUCUUCGAGUCUCUAUGUGCGACUUUUUUUUUUUGAAAAGUGCUACAUGUGCCCCAUUCGAACUGUUAUACCCCAUCUCGACUGCUUGCACGUGGGGCGGGAGAGUACCCGCGUAUAUGCUGAAUACCCUCCUAGAUCAGUGAACAAUGCCUAGAGAAACUACUGAGUGCAAAUCCAAACUCUGUUCUGAGCGUCGCAAAUCGCAUUCGUGCAUCGAGUUAGGAGUCAUAUCGGUGCUGACUGUAGCUGUAUCAGAGACGCAGUACUAGAUAAACUGGUUAUCCUUUCUCGGAUAGCCAGGGUUUCCCUUCCCGAGGAUC
rnacentral:rRNA from 1 species